rnacentral:rRNA from 1 species
AACGAACGCUGGCGGCAUGCCUAACACAUGCAAGUCGAACGAGACCUUCGGGUCUAGUGGCGCACGGGUGCGUAACGCGUGGGAAUCUGCCCUUGGGUUCGGAAUAACAGUUAGAAAUGACUGCUAAUACCGGAUAAUGUCUUCGGACCAAAGAUUUAUCGCCCAGGGAUGAGCCCGCGUAGGAUUAGCUAGUUGGUGAGGUAAAGGCUCACCAAGGCGACGAUCCUUAGCUGGUCUGAGAGGAUGAUCAGCCACACUGGGACUGAGACACGGCCCAGACUCCUACGGGAGGCAGCAGUGGGGAAUAUUGGACAAUGGGCGAAAGCCUGAUCCAGCAAUGCCGCGUGAGUGAUGAAGGCCUUAGGGUUGUAAAGCUCUUUUACCCGGGAUGAUAAUGACAGUACCGGGAGAAUAAGCCCCGGCUAACUCCGUGCCAG